AUGGGGCUGAUGCAAAUCCGGCAUGGUCUCCACGUGUGCUCUGAGCUCUCUUUUUGGGAUGUGCGUCCACUGAGCAGCCUGGUCAGCUGCCUUCUCUCACAGGGCUCCUUGGUCUCACCUUGUAGUGGAGUGUGCUGUUGCAGGGUAACAUCUGGACUGAGCUCCUGGACCCUUGGAUGCUCGGCUGCAAGUUCCUGGAUCGACUUGGAGAAAACACCCUCCUCUGGCACACCCUCCUCCAGGAGCCAUGGAGAUGGCAACUGUGACUCCAGACACGGCCUUCCUGACCCCAACUGUCUUACAGUCGGGGACCUGCUGAAUGUGCCUCCUGAGAGCUGCUCUUUUCUACCAUCAGAGCCCAACUUAUGGGCUCACAAGCUUCCUGAAGUGGCUAAACAGAUAACCUCCACAGUUUCCAUCUUAAAUGCACGGAAAAUAUGGAAUCCUGACAAUUUCAGGACAGAACGAGUCCCAAGUGUCAAUUUCAGAGUUCAAAAGCCAGAGAAGAAAGCUGCAUCUUCUCCCCCGGAUGUGCAGUUAACUUUGACUCUGGCAGAGGUAUUGCUGCUGAAGGAUUCUCAGAUGCUUCAGGGAAAUCGAUUUCACAUAAACUGA
rnacentral:lncRNA from 1 species